GACCAGAGCCCGGCUCCACUGAAGAAACCCGCCGGCUGCUGGGGCAGGGCGGCGAAAGGUCAGUCGGCCGAGAGGAGUCCGUGGAGCCACCGUUUCAUAGCCUCAGGGAAAGGAUCGGGCGUGCUCACGAGCCCUCUAACCCAUGGCUUAAACACCCGCUUCCUAAGCCUGGGUUCUUAUGCCUUUGUUUGAAAAACAUGGUUCCCUGUGAAAUUUUACAUGUAGAAGAAAGCUUCACACUACGAGAGCUCUCAGGAUAUAAUUAUUUCAGACAGAUACUGGGAACAUAAGAUGGCUUAUCAAUCUAAGAUGGCCUUCCUGUCCUUCGGAUUGAACUGAAACCAUCCCUGAUUCCAGGGAUAGGUAGAUGAUCCAGGUUUGGACAAUCAAAAUAUUGAACCACCCUGGACCUACAAGUGUUUCUGGGAUGGGAACAUGCAAACGUUGGUCCAAAUUGUUGUUCUAGGCAGCCCAGUACAUUUCUCCAAUGCCUGAUGGAAUGAUAGGGUAUGCAUAAAUGUUCAUGUGGGCUCUGGAGUAUACCAGGAACUGAAGUAAGGUACAUGGACGUCUUGAAUAUUGUAACUGAGAUGGGCAAGCCUACACCUUUGCAAAUAAAGGAGGAUUGGGAAAGAUUAAGAUCCUGUUAAACGUCAGUGUUACUAUUUAGCCUUUGAUAUCUCCAGUAAAGGCAACUUCUUUCUGGACCCAGAAAUAAAGCUUUACAUUAGCAGCUUCCAUAACACCAAUAACAUGAAUGACCAUCUACUGAGCAAUUGCAGUGCACCAGGAUUAUGGCUUAUGAGCACUUUAUGUUUAUUAUCUCACAACUCACUGAGUUAGAUACUCUCCACAACCCAGUGAGCCUCUCAAGCACUGUGAAAAAUCACUUUCUCUUGUUGUAUUCUUGGAGCCCCUGCUAAUUCAUUAUUGAAAAAUACCUGCUGCCUGCAUUUGGCCUUAUGUUGUCAUUUACUUGGUACUUCCUAAGCGUGGCUACUCCAAUGAAGCUUUAGUAUAUGUACUGAAAGAAGAUCCUCUCAUACUGCCACAGCCAAGAGAUAAGGUUGUAAAUCUUUAUUGGGAGAAGCCGUCAAGGACAGUUCUGUGAAAUGAAAGGAUCUCUGGAUCACCACAAAGUCUGGCUCAGUGACUAUGGCUUUGCAAACACUAAACAUUCCUGUCUCAAGUCCUGUAGAUGGCUUGAAAUAGUAUACAUAAGCAUGCCUUAUAAACAUCUUCAGUCUUUAUCAACUCUUUGGAGAUUCAGCCAUUCUUUUUUGUACUUUAGGGAAUUAAAUCAUUUUAUAAUGUAUAAAUC
rnacentral:lncRNA from 1 species